GAUGAACGCUGGCGGCGUGCCUAAUACAUGCAAGUCGAGCGAACAGACGAGGAGCUUGCUCCUUUGACGUUAGCGGCGGACGGGUGAGUAACACGUAGGUAACCUACCUAUAAGACUGGGAUAACUUCGGGAAACCGGAGCUAAUACCGGAUAAUAUUUCGAACCGCAUGGUUCGAUAGUGAAAGAUGGCUUUGCUAUCACUUAUAGAUGGACCUGCUCCGUAUUAGCUAGUUGGUAAGGUAACGGCUUACCAAGGCAACGAUACGUAGCCGACCUGAGAGGGUGAUCGGCCACACUGGAACUGAGACACGGUCCAGACUCCUACGGGAGGCAGCAGUAGGGAAUCUUCCGCAAUGGGCGAAAGCCUGACGGAGCAACGCCGCGUGAGUGAUGAAGGUCUUCGGAUCGUAAAACUCUGUUAUUAGGGAAGAACAAACGUGUAAGUAACUGUGCACGUCUUGACGGUACCUAGUCAGAAAGCCACGGCUAACUACGUG
rnacentral:rRNA from 1 species